AUAACUAGAGUCACAUAUUCAGCUAACCACCCUUAAGAGUUAAAGUGAACUUGUUUAUAGGCAAUAUAACGUAAACUAUAUAUUUUAUUAACAUAACAGUUCGUGCAUUGAAUAUGCCAACUGUUUUAAGACAGUAUUAAGUUUUAUAUUUCAGCCUUUGAACGGGAAAUCAUCUAUGCCUUGUUUAUGACGAGCUUCACGCAGCUUUCACUUUCACUUUAGUCACUGCUAUAUUAAGCUCUCUUCGAUCACAGCAAGCACGGCAUCAGAAUGGCCUUUCGAGUCGAAUUUGUCUACAGAGCCAGUGAUAUCGAUAUAAAUGACACCGACCUCAGCAUUUCGAGAGCUAGAUUGUCCUGCGGUCACGUGACUUCCGCUCAGACUCUGGUGCAGCGCUGCACACUUCAGCUCCAGAGAGUCAGCUCUACUCUUUACUCUUUCAUAUUUUGGGCAGAUUUUACAACAUAUAUUGUUUUUAUUUGCCGGACAAGUGGAGCUGAAAUGUCCGAUAUGUGCAAAAGUGUGGCCGUACGGAGAAGUGAGAACAUUGCUGACCCCUAAGGAGCAACUUUAUUUUAAAGACCUACUUCGGGAAAAUGCCACUAAAAAGAUGACUGACAUCAAAGGGUGUCCUGGCUGCAGUUCCUUCGUUGAAAGAAAGGACUCCUCUGACCUCUGCGUUCGGUGUCCGUUCUGCUCAGUGAAGACGGGGAGGACGUCUGAGUUCUGCUGGCAGUGCGGGAGAACCUGGAAAGGGCCCCGACCUCGCGCCGAUAAAUGCGAUAAUCUGGGCUGCUCCGACAGCGACUUAAACAUGCUGAGAGAUUGUAAAAUGAUUAGUUUGCCUCAUCAUAGCGACCAAGUGAUUCAGUGCCCAUCGAUCCGUGCCUGUCCGGACUGUGGCAUGCUGAUCGAACACACUCUGGAAGGAUGCAAGUAUGUCGCAUGCUUUAAUUGUAAAAUAUCGUUCUGCUUCAUCUGUCUGAGAUCUUCUGGCUGUGUUAAAUGUGCCGCUGCUGCACCGAGACAGACAUCAGUGCCUUAGAAUCGUAAAAAAACGAUCAAAGUUAGUAUGGAAAUAGAGAAUGACUACUGUAAACUAAACUUAGAAAGGUUUUACAGUUUCUAUCUGUUUCUAUCUGAUUUUUUUUUUCUCCUCAAAAGAACGUUAUGCAUGCAGUUCACUUUUUUGGAACCCGGAAAUGAAAUAAAGACCUUGUGAUUUUUAACAGUUCUAGUGCUGUCAAACUAUUAAUCUUAUCCGAAAUAAAAGUUUCCGUUUGCGUACUACA